GGGAUGGGGAGCAACCUAUGUUGUGCGUGUGUAAAGGUAGUGCCAAGAAAAGCGAUGAUCAUGUUGAAAAUCAAUUCCCGGUACCCGAAACCGACACAGGUGGGCAAGUAGAGAAUACUAAGGGGCGCGAGGUAACUCUCUCCAAGGAACUCGGCAAAAUGACCCCGUAACUUAGGGAGAAGGGGUGCCACCGAGAGGUGGUCGCAGUGAAGAGGCCCAGGCGACUGUUUAGCAAAAACAUAGGUCUCUGCAAACUCGAAAGAGGAGGUAUAGGGGCUGACGCCUGCCCAGUGCCGGAAGGUUAAAGAAGUUGGUCAGUUUUAGGAUGAAGCUAGCGACUGAAGCCCCGGUGAACGGCGGCCGUAACUAUAACGGUCCUAAGGUAGCGAAAUUCCUUGUCGGGUAAGUUCCGACCCGCACGAAAGGCGUAACGAUCUGGGCGCUGUCUCGGAGAGAGGCUCGGCGAAAUAGGAUUGUCUGUGAAGAUACGGACUACCUGCAUUUGGACAGAAAGACCCUAUGAAGCUUUACUAUAGCUUGGAAUUGUGUUCGGGCUUCCUGUGCGCAGGAUAGGUGGGAGGCGUAGAAGGUAUUCUUGUGGGGAUACUGGAGCCAACGGUGAGAUACCACUCUCAGGAGGCUAGAAUUCUAACUUAAUUAAGGACAGUUUCGGGUGGGUAGUUUGACUGGGGCGGUCGCCUCCAAAAAGGUAACGGAGGCGUACAAAGGUUCCCUCAGACUGGUUGGAAAUCAGUCGAAGAGUGCAAAGGCAGAAGGGAGCUUGACUGCGAGAAGUACAGUUCGAGCAGGGUGGAAACACGGUCUUAGUGAUCCGACGGUGCUGUGUGGAAGGGCCGUCGCUCAACGGAUAAAAGUUACUCUAGGAUAACAGGCUGAUCUCCCCCAAGAGUUCACAUCGACGGGGAGGUUUGGCACCUCGAUGUCGGCUCAUCGCAACCUGGGGCGGAAGUACGUCCCAAGGGUUGGGCUGUUCGCCCAUUAAAGCGGUACGUGAGCUGGGUUCAGAACGUCGUGAGACAGUUCGGUCCAUAUCCGAUGUAGGCGUGAGAAUAUUGAGAGGAGCCUUCCUUAGUACGAGAGGACCGGGAAGGACGCACCGCUGGUGUACCUGUUAUGAUGCCAAUUGUAAACGCAGGGUAGCCAAGUGCGGAGAGGAUAACCGCUGAAAGCAUCUAAGUGGGAAGCCCACCUCAAGAUGAGUAUUCUGGUGUAAGGUCACGGGAAGACGACCCGUAAAUAGGCACGAGGUGGAAGUGCAGAGAUGUAUGAAGCCGAAGUGUACUAAUAGACCGUCGGCUUGAC
rnacentral:rRNA from 1 species